GCCGUCUACUCUUGGCCAGCCUUCUGAAAGGAAGAUUAAUACAAGANGGCAUCAUGAGUCCGCAUGUUCACAUGAUUAAAGGUAUUCCGGUAGACGAUGGGGAUGCGUUCCAUNAGAUAGUAGGCGGGGUAACGGCCCACCUAGUCUUCGANGGAUAGGGGUUCUGAGAGGAAGGUCCCCCACAUUGGAACUGAGACACGGUCCAAACUCCUACGGGAGGCAGCAGUGAGGAAUAUUGGUCAAUGGGCGAGAGCCUGAACCAGCCAAGUAGCGUGAAGGAUGACUGCCCUAUGGGUUGUAAACUUCUUUUAUAAAGGAAUAAAGUCGGGUAUGGAUACCCGUUUGCAUGUACUUUAUGAAUAAGGAUCGGCUAACUCCGUGCCAGCAGCCGCGGUAAUACGGAGGAUCCGAGCGUUAUCCGGAUUUAUUGGGUUUAAAGGGAGCGUAGAUGGAUGUUUAAGUCAGUUGUGAAAGUUGCGGCUCAACCGUAAAAUUGCAGUUGAUACUGGAUNUCUUGAGUACAGUAGAGGCAGG
rnacentral:rRNA from 1 species